GAUGCGCACCUGGUUGCCAUCUUUGUUGCUGGCAGGCCAAUUUUACUCUCCUGUAAAGCGCGGAAGUAGCUAUGGAGGUCGUCACGUUAUGUUGAAGCAAAAAGGACCGAGUAACUUCUAAAUUGAAAGUCCUUAAAGUCUCGCCUGUAAUACAGAUACUGUUUUCCAGUUAACCUGUAGCGAGAUAAGGUGCUAUUUUCACACAACAGAUUAUAAAAUAGGGAGUUUGGUACACUGGACCAGCCCUUCGCAAGGAGCACAACUAAGGUGUCAAUUAGAAUAGAAACCGAAACUGGGCAUCCUGAGAAAUGGGUCAACCCCUAUGUGAAAAUUUGUGGACACUCCUUCAAUAGAAUCUUCAUGCUUCCUUUGUUGAAGGGGAGCUUUGGCAAUGACUCCUGCACACUUCUCGCCUGUUGCAGGAAAACAAUAAAACAAGAUGGCUGCUGGACCGUUUGGAGAUAUGCGUGGAGAAGAGGAAAACUGGCAUGCUGAGAUAAAAUAACCACCCCUCUCCUCCUCCUGAAAACCCCACCUCCAAGAUCACCCUUAGCCAGCUCAUGGGUUCCGGUCCCUGGGUGGCACCUCCCAUUUUCAAUUCCCUUAAUUCAUUCUCACCUCUGCAACCUUACCCUGUCCCUGCUGAUUCCUCCUAGCAAUGCCUGGUGGGUCUGUUCCGAUGGCCUCACCCCCCUGCAUUUAUAACCCUUUGUUCCAACAGGGCGAGAUGUGUACUCUUGUCCAGCUAGUCCCACGGCUCUCCUACUACCCCUCAGAGGAAUUUUUCCCUCCCCUAACUCCCACCUCUGCCCCUCUCCUCACUCGCAGGGAACCCAUCUCUGCACUAACUGUGGCUGUCUUGCUUGGGCUAGGAGCUGCUGGAGCAGGAACAGGCAUAUCAUCCCUUGCUCUAUCCUCCAAACGCUAUGAUGAACUCAGUACCACUAUUGACUGGGAUGUCCAGAAACUACAGGCAGGAAUAACUGACCUUGCAGACUCCCUACGGUCCCUAAGUAAGGUAGUCCUUCAAAACCGCAGGGGAUUAUAUCUACUUCUCCUUCAACAAGUUGGUCUCUGUGCUGCCCUGAAGGAAGAAUGUUGCUUCUAUGUAGAUAAGACAGGAUUGGUAAAGGAUGCAAUGAAAGAGGUUAGAGAAGGAUUGGAAAGAAGAAAACUAGGGAGGGCCAAAAACAAAAGCUGGUACCAAGACUGGCUCUCUACUUCCCCCUGGGUGAUAACUCUCAAUUUUAGGACCUUUUAUAGGGCUUUUGUUGUUAAUUUCUUUUGGCCCCUGGGCAUUUAAUUGCUUAACUGGCUUCAUUAAACAACAGAUAGAUUCUCUCAUUGCUAAGCCCAUUCAGGUCCAUUAUCAUCAUUGAGCCACUCAGAUGGCGGUCAUGAUUUCACUCAUCACCCCCCCUCCAUCUCCAUCCAGCCUUAGGGGACCCUACCCUUUCAACAAGCCCUCUUCUUGGUGCUAACAUUUCCAGGCAUGUCUGCCACCUGGCUCAUUUCAGGGAGAAUGACUGCUUACAGACAGCAAAGGGACGUUUAUAAUAAAAGGUAAACUAGCCUGGAUCCCUCGGAGGCAUGCUCAUUUGCAGGGAGGUUGAUGUCUAUAACACCUCCCCUCCCAAAAAGACAUCCUGGGAGGUCCAGGGUUGCUCGACCCAACCUAGCUUGGCAAAAGGCCCUUUUGACGCAAUGCCCACCACUCUUCCACAGGAGGAUCGAGCCCCUGCCUCCUCCUUUCUCCUUUGAAUAAAGUAAAAAAGGGGGAGAUGUCAGGGGCCAUGGCAAAAGCAACCUUGGACCUGUAAGAGACUUGGGCUACUUCCAAGAAAGCUGCCAGCAUAACCCAUUAUGAUGAAAAGAAUAGCUGCCUUCAAUCCUUUCCUCCCUGAUACAUAACACCUAGGCUCAUAAAGUAUCUUAUAGAAGGAAAGAUAUAGUUCAUGGUCGGGAUACCUAGCAACCCUUCCCCUUCUAACCCACUAUCUAACAGGGGCAUAUCCACACCCCCUCUGGUUUGGUUAUCAGGCAUAUGGCUUCAAACAACCUCUCCCUGCCUGCCAAGCUCCCCGAUUGGCACCCCUAUAUAAGGUCCCUGUGAAAAAUAAAAAUUUGCGGCUUGAUCAGAAA